AGAGUUUGAUCCUGGCUCAGGACAAACGCUGGCGGCGUGCCUAAUACAUGCAAGUAGAACGCUGAAGAGAGGAGCUUGCUCUUCUUGGAUGAGUUGCGAACGGGUGAGUAACGCGUAGGUAACCUGCCUUGUAGCGGGGGAUAACUAUUGGAAACGAUAGCUAAUACCGCAUAACAAUGGAUGACCCAUGUCAUUUAUUUGAAAGGGGCAAAUGCUCCACUACAAGAUGGACCUGCGUUGUAUUAGCUAGUAGGUGAGGUAACGGCUCACCUAGGCGACGAUACAUAGCCGACCUGAGAGGGUGAUCGGCCACACUGGGACUGAGACACGGCCCAGACUCCUACGGGAGGCAGCAGUAGGGAAUCUUCGGCAAUGGGGGCAACCCUGACCGAGCAACGCCGCGUGAGUGAAGAAGGUUUUCGGAUCGUAAAGCUCUGUUGUAAGUCAAGAACGAGUGUGAGAGUGGAAAGUUCACACUGUGACGGUAGCUUACCAGAAAGGGACGGCUAACUACGUGCCAGCAGCCGCGGUAAUACGUAGGUCCCGAGCGUUGUCCGGAUUUAUUGGGCGUAAAGCGAGCGCAGGCGGUUUGAUAAGUCUGAAGUUAAAGGCUGUGGCUCAACCAUAGUUCGCUUUGGAAACUGUCAAACUUGAGUGCAGAAGGGGAGAGUGGAAUUCCAUGUGUAGCGGUGAAAUGCGUAGAUAUAUGGAGGAACACCGGUGGCGAAAGCGGCUCUCUGGUCUGUAACUGACGCUGAGGCUCGAAAGCGUGGGGAGCGAACAGGAUUAGAUACCCUGGUAGUCCACGCCGUAAACGAUGAGUGCUAGGUGUUGGAUCCUUUCCGGGAUUCAGUGCCGCAGCUAACGCAUUAAGCACUCCGCCUGGGGAGUACGACCGCAAGGUUGAAACUCAAAGGAAUUGACGGGGGCCCGCACAAGCGGUGGAGCAUGUGGUUUAAUUCGAAGCAACGCGAAGAACCUUACCAGGUCUUGACAUCCCGAUGCUAUUUCUAGAGAUAGAAAGUUACUUCGGUACAUCGGUGACAGGUGGUGCAUGGUUGUCGUCAGCUCGUGUCGUGAGAUGUUGGGUUAAGUCCCGCAACGAGCGCAACCCCUAUUGUUAGUUGCCAUCAUUCAGUUGGGCACUCUAGCGAGACUGCCGGUAAUAAACCGGAGGAAGGUGGGGAUGACGUCAAAUCAUCAUGCCCCUUAUGACCUGGGCUACACACGUGCUACAAUGGUUGGUACAACGAGUUGCGAGUCGGUGACGGCAAGCUAAUCUCUUAAAGCCAAUCUCAGUUCGGAUUGUAGGCUGCAACUCGCCUACAUGAAGUCGGAAUCGCUAGUAAUCGCGGAACAGCACGCCGCGGUGAAUACGUUCCCGGGCCUUGUACACACCGCCCGUCACACCACGAGAGUUUGUAACACCCGAAGUCGGUGAGGUAACCUUUUGGAGCCAGCCGCCUAAGGUGGGAUAGAUGAUUGGGGUGAAGUCGUAACAAGGUA
rnacentral:rRNA from 1 species